GACGAACGCUGGCGGCGUGCCUAAUACAUGCAAGUUGAGCGCUGAAGGUUGGUACUUGUACCAACUGGAUGAGCAGCGAACGGGUGAGUAACGCGUGGGGAAUCUGCCUUUGAGCGGGGGAUAACUUUGGGAAACGAAUGCUAAUACCGCAUAAAAUUUUUAACCACAAGUUUUAAUUUUGAAAGAUGGAUUUGCUUCACCCAAUAGUGAUCCCGCCGUGUAUUAGCUAGUUGGUGAGGUAAAGGGCCACCAAGGGGAAGAUACAGUGCCGGCCGGGGAGGGUGAUCGGCCAAAUUGGGACUGAGACACGGCCCAAACUCCUACGGGAGGCAGCAGUAGGGAAUCUUCGGCAAUGGACGAAAGUCUGACCGGGCAACGGCGCGUGAGUGAAGAAGGUUGUCGGAUCGUAAAACUCUGUUGGUAGAGAAGAACGUUGGUGAGAGUGGAAAGCUCAUCAAGUGACGGUAACUACCCAGAAAGGGACGGCUAACUACGUG
rnacentral:rRNA from 1 species